rnacentral:rRNA from 1 species
UACAGAGGGUGCAAGCGUUAAUCGGAAUUACUGGGCGUAAAGCGUGCGUAGACGGUUAUUUAAGUCAGGUGUGAAAGCCCCGGGCUCAACCUGGGAAUUGCAUUUGAGACUGAAUAGCUAGGGUGCGGAAGAGGGAAGCGGAAUUUCCGGUGUAGCGGUGAAAUGCGUAGAUAUCUGGAGGAACACCGGUGGCGAAGGCGGCAUUCUGGACUACAACUGACACUGAGGAACGAAAGCCAGGGGAGCAAACGGG